rnacentral:ncRNA from 1 species
GAAAGGCCGCUCAGGAAACAGCGGCGGCUGGACACUGCCAUGAGGCGUACCGCAUCGCCGAAGUGUCCCAAUUAGU